ACUUAGAGAGACAUAUUUAGCAAGAAAAGAAGGGUCAAUUUUAGUGAAUUUGGCCUUUGGAACAACUAUAAGUUCUCCUCCCCUGCCUUCAUUUCCACACAAAAAACAAGUCAAAAACAAUCACACACCACAGAUUGAAGAGAAAAGAUGGCAAGAGAAUUAAGGAUUUUGAUUGAUGGUGAAGGCUUUGGUAAUCUUGGCACUAAUGUUUUGGUAACAUUCUUGGGAAUAUUGGCUGCGGUUUUCGUCGUAACGUUUAUAAUCUUGUCAUGUGCACAAGGGGCAGUGCCAAGAGAUAAAUCAGCAGCAACAGAAUCAAGUGCCUAUGGAGGAGCCGGAUGCGCAGCAGGCUGUGGUGCAGGUUGUGGUGGAGGAUGUGGUGCCUGAAUACAGAGCCGCUUUUAGGAUUUAGAAUCAGUGAGUUGAAAACGAAUGUGAUUUUAGCAUAUGCAUACAUUAAUUUUUUUUGCAUAUGUAUAGAUAGUUCGAUUAAAAAAUAAUGAACUCAUUUGAAUCAUAGAAUCCGUCCUAAAUCCGCAUGGCUGUGCAUUUUUCUUCAUAAACAGUCUCUUGCACUCAUGCUAAAGAUGAAAGUAAUAUAAAAUCAUCUAAAGUUAGAAGCCUAGAAAUGACUAAAAAAGCCUGCACAGAAGCAAAAACCACUGGUGUGAAUGCUGAUGCAGGAGUUUAGAGUUUAUCCAGAUGAUUUUGGCUUUUCUGUGUUCUUCUACUAGUUCUUAGCGUCUACUAGUUCAGUUGAUAUACACCUAUCUACACUGCACUCGUCACCUUUUAGGAAAAGGAUAGCAUUCUCAAAUAAUAUCGAUGGAAAAAACAAUUAUGCUUGAGACUCAAGCUUUACUAUUUCUUUCUGUUCUCCUUAUUAUUUCCUUUUUUCUUUUUUCCUUUAAACUCAAGUUACUAGUUACUACUCCAGCUGAACUGAAGUGCUGUUAUAUGUUUGAGGUCAAAACACUCAAAAGGUGAAUUCUGUUUUUGCUGAUUAGAAAAAGAAAGUUACUUGUAAAUAAUUUCAGCAACUUAAAUCCACUGUCAAGAUGGCCGAGUUGGUCUAAGGCGCCAGUUUCAGGUACUGGUCCGAAAGGGCAUGGGUUCAAAUCCCAUUCUUGACAAAGGAGUUCUUUUUUCCUUUUUGGAUCUCUUUCCAACUUUGUAUUAAUUUGAAGAUAAUCCUAUUCAACAAAUAAUCCUUUUGAUUUAACCAUCAGUGCGAGUUUUGUGAUCGGUUGCCAUUGUGUUAGUGGUCUUCUAGACUAUUCUGAGCAUGAGUCUCCAUAUUAAUUCAACGGGUUUGACAGAACUCACUGCGUCUAGUUCAGAUUCUAACGUGUGUCAAAAUAAUCAGCACAUACAUAAAGAGCAGAAUUCACGGACUCUAUCGAGCGGAUAAUGGGCAGCUGACAGAUUAUAGGCAUGAGGUAUAUGCAAAAUCGAUCAAGUCGUGGCAGCUGUAGGCAGCCGCCACUGGUGGUUGAUCAUGGAAAGGACGAGGAGGAGGAUGAGGAGAAGUAGGAUGUGAAGAUACCCUGCAUUUACAAAGUUUUCCAACUAUGACAACAUUGCAUCAAAUUCUAUAGUGUUAGCCUUAUGUGAUGAUAUUCUUUGGUCGAAGAUCUUUUAGCAUUUGCUCUUUAUAUAUUGACCUCACAUAAACUUAAUAAAUGCCAUGAUCAUGCAAGGAAAAUGUAACCUAAUUAGCUACCACAAAGAAAAAGCAUUGACAUUUCCAACUUGUUUGGCUAUUUUAUGUUAAUCAUUUCACAUGAGAAUUCAUAAUGGAUAGAUG
rnacentral:lncRNA from 1 species